rnacentral:rRNA from 1 species
UGGGGAAUAUUGGACAAUGGGCGAAAGCCUGAUCCAGCCAUGCCGCGUGUGUGACGAAGGUCUUCGGAUUGUAAAGCACUUUAAGUUGGGAGGAAUGGCAGUAAGCGAAUACCUUGCUGUUUUGACGUUACCGACAGAAUAAGCACCGGCUAACUCUGUGCCAGCAGCCGCGGUAAUACAGAGGGUGCAAGCGUUAAUCGGAAUUACUGGGCGUAAAGCGCGCGUAGGUGGUUCGUUAAGUUGAAUGUGAAAGCCCCGGGCUCAACCUGGGAACUGCAUCCAAAACUGGCGAGCUAGAGUAGGGCAGAGGGUGGUGGAAUUUCCUGUGUAGAGGUGAAAUGCGUAGAUAUAGGAAGGAACACCAGUGGCGAAGGCGACCACCUGGGCUCAUACUGACACUGAGGUGCGAAAGAGUGGGGAGCAAACAGG